GCGAGCGUAGCUCAGCUGGUAGAGCAUCGGGUUGUGAUCCCGGUGGUCGAGGGUUCAAGUCCCUUCGCUCGCCCCA
rnacentral:tRNA from 3 species